AACGAACACGACGUUUAACCAAACGUUAAACAAGAAAAAGGUCCUCUCCUGGGACCUUUUUCUUUUAUGUCAUUUCCUGAGUUUCCUGCAGUGUAGUGUCGUAGAUGUGCCAUCCGGAAGGCCGUGCGAGUCGUCCUUGCUCCAGAAUCGGUCUGUGUGACCAUCGCUUCGUUUUGGAGGUAGAUGCCGCGCCGCCAUUGCUUUUGGCCACGAGGUUGCGCAAUGUAAAGCAUCACCCUUCCGACGUCGGCCAUCUUCCGACCCUCGCCAGAAAAGCUCAAUCCAGCAAACAUACCAUUCGACCAGCAGUCCCAAGGUCGAGGUCCGUUACGUUCAUCGAACAACAUCCACAAGUUCAGGCCAGCAACCACCGGUGAAGAUCUAUACCACAAAAAGCAUGCAAGUACCCAUAUUGUGACGUCACUAUCAAUAAUGUUAAUAAAUUGUAAAAUUGAA